UUUCCGUAGGUGAACCUGCGGAAGGAUCAUUAUUGUAUAACCGACCUCGGAGGGCUAUCUCUCACCCUAGACUUCCUACACGCGCUGCUUCCGUCACACACCUCCAUCUCACUCCUCGCUGCACGACGCCGGUCGUCCCCCUUGCGCUCGUCGGGGGGGGCUCUUACGUCUGCACACAAACGUUUGAUUCAGUAUGAAGUGUAUUUUUUGUUUUUUCAACCAUGCAACCAUUACAUCUUUCAACAACGGAGCUCUUGGCUGUCGCGUCGAUGACAAACC
rnacentral:misc_RNA from 1 species